rnacentral:rRNA from 1 species
GACGAACGCUGGCGGCGUGCUUAACACAUGCAAGUCGAACGAUGAAGCCUAGCUUGCUAGGUGGAUUAGUGGCGAACGGGUGAGUAAUACGUGAGUAACCUACCUUUAACUCUGGGAUAAGCCCGGGAAACUGGGUCUAAUACCGGAUACGACCAAUCUCCGCAUGGGGUGUUGGUGGAAAGCGUUAUGUAGUGGUUAUAGAUGGGCUCACGGCCUAUCAGCUUGUUGGUGAGGUAACGGCUCACCAAGGCGACGACGGGUAGCCGGCCUGAGAGGGUGACCGGCCACACUGGGACUGAGACACGGCCCAGACUCCUACGGGAGGCAGCAGUGGGGAAUAUUGCACAAUGGGCGCAAGCCUGAUGCAGCGACGCCGCGUGAGGGAUGACGGCCUUCGGGUUGUAAACCUCUGUUAGCAGGGAAGAAGAGAGAUUGACGGUACCUGCAGAGAAAGCGCCGGCUAACUACGUG